CGUGGGCCGGAUUAAAGGGAUCGGUAUAGCGGAAGACAGAGGCUGCAUCAACACCACAGCACCUGCGAGGCCAGGUACAUGACAAGGACAACACGACAGAAUGACAAAAAAGAAAAACCAAGAAUGAUGAGGGGGAGCAAGAUGGACAGAAGAGAGAUGAGGAAGAGGAAAUAAGCAAUGCUUCUUAUUUUGUUAGUGACAUCUCUACAGAGAGAGUGAAAAUAAUAGAAGCUCGUCUUCUAGAUCCUGCCAGGAGAGUGAAGUCCAAAGCACUGAAAAAGAAGACUCUAAAAUGAUGACACAUGUCCAUUGUCCAUGUACCUCUGUCAGCCACCAGCGUCACCUCACUCAAACUGAAGACUCUGAUAAUGAACACACAUGUCCCCGUACCUCUGUCUGCCACAAGCGUCACCUCGCUCAAACUGACUCUGAUAAUGAAGACACAUGUCCCCGUACCUCAAGUUCUGUCAUCACUGGCCAGAAUCAGGAGAUCAUUCAAAUGAUGACAGGACAGAAGGCUGCAGUGAGGCCUAGGACAGCUGAUGAGCAGGCUGCUGCAGUGAAGGCAACCCUGGACAACCCUUUGUUCUGAAAAAAUCUCCAGGAAAAGUGGGCAGCCAGGCUUACCUUCAAAACAAUCCAUUUAUUCACUCCAGACCCUGGAUUAACGUAAACGACUUUUGUUCAUAAGACAGUCCAGUCCAAGAAAAGAAGAAUAAUUUGAGCACAUCACUGUUCUGUUUAAGUUUGCUGCAUGGGAACACAUCUCUUAGUUUUUCUGCUGUGUUCCUUUUAUUUAAAACCUUUUGAUUCUCUUAUUGAGCAUUGAGUCACUACUCAACAUUUCUGUAAAAUUCAGAAAAUGGUGAUAAAAUAUGGUCAAAAGUUAAGCUGUGUUAGAAUAAAUUCUUCUUGAUGUUGUAGGAUAACUGAUAGAAAUGUACACUAUAAUUAAAACUAUUUACA
rnacentral:lncRNA from 1 species